rnacentral:rRNA from 1 species
CCUACGGGAGUCAGCAGUGAGGAAUAUUGGUCAAUGGACGAGAGUCUGAACCAGCCAAGUAGCGUGAAGGAUGACUGCCCUAUGGGUUGUAAACUUCUUUUAUAUGGGAAUAAAAUGUUCCACGUGUGGGAUUUUGUAUGUACCAUAUGAAUAAGGAUCGGCUAACUCCGUGCCAGCAGCCGCGGUAAUACGGAGGAUCCGAGCGUUAGCCGGAUUUAUUGGGUUUAAAGGGAGCGUAGGUGGAUUGUUAAGUCAGUUGUGAAAGUUUGCGGCUCAACCGUAAAAUUGCAGUUGAAACUGGCAGUCGUGAGUACAGUAGAGGUGGGCGGAAUUCGUGGUGUAGCGGUGAAAUGCUUAGAUAUCACGAAGAACUCCGAUUGCGAAGGCAGCUCACUGGACUGCAACUGACACUGAGGCUCGAAAGUGUGGGUAUCAAACAGGAUUAGAUACCCUGGUAGUC